GUACUGUGCGAACGUUAUUCGGAAUCACUGGGCUUAAAGGGUGCGUAGGCGGCAAUUCAAGUCAGAUGUGAAAUGCCUGAGCUCAACUGAGGCAUUGCGUUUGAAACUGAAUCGCUAGAGUAUCCCAGGGGUGUGCGGAACUGCCAGUGGAACGGUGAAAUGUGUUGAUAUUGGCAGGAACACCGGAGGCGAAAGCGGCACACUAGGGGAUAACUGACGCUGAAGCACGAAAGCCAAGGGAGCGAACGGGAUUAGAUACCCCGGUAGUCUUGGCCGUAAACGAUGAGUACUGGGCGGGAGGGGGUUUCCCUUUUCUGCCGUAGCGAAAGCGUUAAGUACUCCGCCUGGGGAGUACGGUCGCAAGACUG
rnacentral:rRNA from 1 species